ACGAACGCUGGCGGCGUGCUUAACACAUGCAAGUCGAACGGUGAAGCUCCAGCUUGCUGGCGUGGAUCAGUGGCGAACGGGUGAGUAACACGUGAGCAACCUGCCCCAGACUCUGGAAUAAGCGCUGGAAACGGCGUCUAAUACUGGAUACGAGAUCAAGCCGCAUGGUUAUGGUCUGGAAAGUUUUUCGGUUUGGGAUGGGCUCGCGGCCUAUCAGCUUGUUGGUGAGGUAAUGGCUCACCAAGGCGACGACGGGUAGCCGGCCUGAGAGGGCGACCGGCCACACUGGGACUGAGACACGGCCCAGACUCCUACGGGAGGCAGCAGUGGGGAAUAUUGCACAAUGGGCGAAAGCCUGAUGCAGCGACGCCGCGUGAGGGAUGACGGCCUUCGGGUUGUAAACCUCUUUCAGCAGGGAAGAAGCGAAAGUGACGGUACCUGCAGAAGAAGCACCGGCUAACUACGUG
rnacentral:rRNA from 1 species